AUGGACGGGGCUGGAGCGCUACUCCGGAGUCAUCAGAUGGAGCCGCCGCCGCCGUUCUUAGCAAUUUCGGUCACCGUGGCGACCUUGGCUGCUGGCGUAUUCGCCAUAUAUUUCUACGCACCUUCAUGGCGCGUACGUAGGGUCCCCGGUCCGAUGGCUUACCCGCUGAUCGGCCACCUGCCGUUGCUCGCCAAGCACGGGCCGGCGGUGUUCACGGUCCUCAGAGAGAGAUUCGGGCCCAUCUACAGGUUUCACAUGGGUAGACAGCCGCUAGUUAUGAUUGCAGACCCCGAGCUGUGCAGAGAGGUGGGAAUCCAGAAGUUCAAGAGCAUCCCCAACAGAAGCGUCCCUAGUCCUAUUCGCAGCUCGCCUAUUCACAACAAAGGCCUCUUCUUUACGAGGGACUCGAGAUGGCAAUCCAUGAGAAAUGUCAUCAUCUCCAUUUACCAGCCGUCGCACGUGGCAAGCCUCAUCCCUUCCUUCCAACCGUACAUUGAACGGACGGGGCGCCUCCUCCGGCAUGGCGAGGAGAUCACCUUCUCCGACCUCUCGUUAAAGCUCUUCAGCGACACUAUUGGUCAGGUCGCCUUUGGUGUGGACUUCGGCCUCACCAAAGGCACCACCUCUCCACCACCGAAACACCAUGUCGAUUGUGCUGAGACUGUCGACAUGACAACGGAUUUCAUCGAAAAGCACUUCUACGCCACGACGUCCCUCAAGAUGGACCUGUCAGGCUCCGUGUCCAUCAUCCUUGGCAUGCUCGUGCCGUUGCUACAGGAACCCGUGAGGCAGCUCCUGCUGCGUAUGCCGGGCUCAAAAGACCGCCGGAUGGAAGAGACCAACUUGGCCAUGAGUGGGCUACUAGACAACAUUGUGGCUGAGCGGGCGGCACAAGCUGACAGGGGGGAGAAGAACUUCCUGUCUGUGAUGCUUAAUGCAAGCGAGAGCACAGACGCAAUGAGGAAGUUGUUGACGCAAGACUACGUGAGCGCACUUACAUACGAGCACUUACUUGCAGGGUCGGUGACCAUGUCCUUCACGUUGUCAAGCCUGGUGUACCUUGUGGCGAUGUACCCCGAGGUAGAGGAGAAGCUACUCAAGGAGAUCGACGCUUUUGGGCCCAAAGAUGUGGUACCCAAUGUUGAGGACAUCCAGACCAAAUUCCCUUACAUGGAGCAGGUU
rnacentral:rRNA from 1 species